rnacentral:rRNA from 1 species
GACGAACGCUGGCGGCGUGCUUAACACAUGCAAGUCGAACGGUGAAAGCGGAGCUUGCUCCGCUGGAUCAGUGGCGAACGGGUGAGUAACACGUGGGCAACCUGCCCCUCACUUCGGGAUAACUCCGGGAAACCGGGGCUAAUACCGGAUAUGACCUCCUUGGGCAUCCUUGGAGGUGGAAAGUUUUUCGGUGAGGGAUGGGCCCGCGGCCUAUCAGCUUGUUGGUGGGGUAGUGGCUCACCAAGGCGACGACGGGUAGCCGGCCUGAGAGGGCGACCGGCCACACUGGGACUGAGACACGGCCCAGACUCCUACGGGAGGCAGCAGUGGGGAAUAUUGCGCAAUGGACGAAAGUCUGACGGAGCAACGCCGCGUGAGUGAUGAAGGCUUUCGGGUCGUAAAACUCUGUUGUUAGGGAAGAACAAGUGCUAGUUGAAUAAGCUGGCACCUUGACGGUACCUAACCAGAAAGCCACGGCUAACUACGUGCCAGCCGCCGCGUAA